UGUCCAGUGAUGGGAAUCGAACCCACAGUGUUCCGCUUACCGGGCAGAUGCCAUGUCCACUAGGCUACUUCUAUAC